UACAGAGGGUGCGAGCGUUUGUUCGGAAUUAUUGGCGUAAGGGCGCGUAGGCGGUGCGGUAAGUCACCUGUGAAAUCUCCUGGCUCAACUGAGAGCUUGCAGGCGAAACUGCCGUGCUGGAGUGUGGGAGAGGUGCGUGGAAUUCCUGGUGUAGCGGUGAAAUGCGUAGAUAUCAGGAGGAACACCUGUGGCGAAAGCGGCGCACUGGACCACAACUGACGCUGAGGCGCGAAAGCGUGGGGAGCAAACAGG
rnacentral:rRNA from 1 species